ACGCACGGCUCACCUCACGGCAGAUUCGUCUCCUUCACGCACGGCUCACGGCGACGCAUAGUGCGCCGGCACUCACGGAGGUCUUCUCACGGAGACCCAGAUUCUUACUCUUUUGCAAUUUGGAGGAUAUACACUUUUGAGGAACUCAAGUGACCUAUUCCUGAGUUUCAGGUAGUAUUAUUACAAGAAAAAUGGUGUCUGGAUGUUCAAGCACUUCAUUAGUGGCAUCUCCUAAAAAACAAUCAAUAAAGGAAAUAACAGAAAAGUCUCCAAUGACAUCGGCCUCUCCUCCAACUCAAGCAAUAGAAGAAGCAAUUAGAAAGUCUCCACAAAAAUCAUCUUCUCUUUCAAUACAUGCAAGAGAAGAGACAAAUGAAAAAUAUUCAUUGAAACCAUCACCACUGUUGUCUAAGGUAUAUAAAUAAAUAAUA